rnacentral:rRNA from 1 species
AAUAUUAAUUCCGGUUGAUCCUGCCGGACCCGACUGCUAAUUGGGUGGGAUUAAGCCAUGCGAGUUGUAUGAGGCACCUAACUGUCUCAUAGCAAACUGCUCAGUAACACAUGAUCAACCUACCCUAUGAAGGAUAAUAACCUCGGGAAACUGAGGAUAAUGAUCCAUAGCUGAUUCGGCUUGGAAAAGUGUUUCAGUGAAAAGGAUAUAGAAAAUGGUCUGUAUCUGUCAUAGGAUGGGAUUGUGGUCGAUUAGGUAGUUGGUGAGAUAAAGGCUCACCAAGCCGAUAAUCGAUAGGGGCCGUGAGAGCGGGAGCCUCGAGAUGGGUACUUAGACAGCGACCCAGGCCCUACGGGGCGCAGCAGGCGCGAAACCUCCGCAAUACACGCAAGUGUGACGGGGCUACCCAACGUGCUCCAUAUAGGAGCUGUGGUAGGUGCGUAAUGUACCCUACUAGAAAGGAGAGGGCAAGGCUGGUGCCAGCCGCCGCGGUAAAACCAGCUCUUCAAGUGGUCG